rnacentral:lncRNA from 1 species
AUAAUAUAUACUAUAUUACAUAUAAUGUAUAUAAUAUAUACUAAUAUAAUGAUAAUAAACAUAUUUUAUUUAAAUCACCAAAAGAACUUUUAAAAAUUGUGGGAGGGUUAAAAGAUGUUGCCUCUGGGAAGCAAGUCUAAGGGAGGAGCGGUGCAGUGCGGCCGUUCUUUUGUAUUAAAUGCCUUCUUUGCUCUGACUUCUUAGCCACACGCGAGGGUUACUCCGACCUAUGAAAAGCAUGAAUGAAACGGCCCUGAGGGCAUCACCAGGAACCUGGUCAGCCCCUGGACACUGCCCUCUCUGUCCUCAGGGACACACGGCGGCUGAGUGUGCAAGUGCGUGCUCACACGCCUGCUGGCCCCGUCUCAAGUAUUUUUGAACUUUCUGUGGGUUUGUCUCAUCAAUGACAGUAAUUUUCCCUAUUGACUUGGAUGAUUAAGAAUCGACUCCAAUGAAAACAGAGGGCUUCAGAGAGCCUGUCACCGGCUUCCUUCCCGAACAACGCCUGACCAAGAUUUCCGUGACUCCGCUACACAGCAUCAGAAAACCUCACAAUAGGGCUUACUCACAAUCAUUCGCUCAUCGACUUUUAUUUAACCCACACAAAGAAAUGCCGAGUGCUCUCUGGUGGCCUGGAUCAAGUCCCUUGGAUCCGUGAUGCGAGCGGUGACUUUCUCGGAUGGACAGAUGGACAGAAGAGGUCCCAUGCGCUCCACUCGCUCUAAGAAGAAUGGUCACAUUGAGCCCAGCAGCCAGUGGUGCUGUGGCAAAGCGUGUGGUCACCUCCCACAUGAAGAGGCCUAUUGAUGACCGUGGGACCCGGUGCAAGGGCCCUGGCAGCCGGCCGGAGGCGCGGGACAGUGGGCAGCGUUCCCAGCGCGCCCGGCCGGGAGCCGCAGAGGACACACACGGCGCGUGCACACACUCCGCUCACGUCCAAGGACACACACGGCGCCUGUGCACACUCCGCUCACGCCCAAGGACACACACGGCGCAUACGCACACUCCGCUCACGCCCAAGGACACACACGGCACAUACGCACACUCCGCUCACGCCCACGUGCGAGCGCUUCCCAAGGCAGGGGGCGUACCUUGCCAGGCGCUGGCGCUGAAGCUGUGCCAGGUGGAUGAACACGGAAUGAAACACGGAACGGCCAUCACAUGGGAUGAAUGA